GGGAGCCGGACUUCAUCCCCGACUCCGGCUGCAGGAAGCCUUCGUCCGGACUCCUACGGGAGCCAGACUUUAUCCCCGACUCCGGCUAUAGGAAGCCUUCGUCCGGACUCCUAUGGAAAUCAAACUUCGUCUACAGAGAGCCUCUGGCUGGGCUCCUACAGCAAAUAGCCCUCGCCUAUAGUACUAACGCUCAAGGCACCCA
rnacentral:lncRNA from 1 species